CCAAUGGAGGAAUGAUAUCUUACUGCAAGCUGCUAUCAUGGUGCUGAUGAUCUCAGUUAAGAGAUUUUAUGAGCAUGGAGGUGAGAUGCAAGUCGCACAAGAUGCUCCUUUAAAGCCAUCUAUGGAUAUCUUUGCUGUAGGGUAUGCCAACGGAGGAAUGAUAUCUUACUGCAAGCUGCUAUUAUG